rnacentral:rRNA from 1 species
UUUUAAUUGAAGGCUUGUAUGAAAGGUUGGACAAGGGAUAAGCUGUCUUUAUUUUCUUUUUGAAGUUGUCUUUUAAGUGAAAAGACUUAAAUAUAUUUAAGGGACGAUAAGACCCUAUAAAUCUUUAUAUUAAUAUAUUUUUAUUUUAAUUUUUAAUGUUUAUAAAAAUGGGAAUAUAUAAUAUUAUAUUGGGGUGAUAAGAAUAUAAAGUAAACUGUUCUAGUAAUAAAACAAAGUUGUUUGGAAAAUAGUAGAUCCUUUUUUUAGAUUAUAAGUUUAAGUUACUUUAGGGAUAACAGCGUUAUUUUUUUUGAGAGUUCUAAUCGAAGAAAAAGUUUGCGACCUCGAUGUUGAAUUAAAAUUUCUUUGUGGGGUAGUGGCUACAAGAGAGAGUCUGUUCGACUUUUAAAAUUUUACGUGAUCU